UUUCUUUCGCGAGUCAUCAAAGUCUACGAGAAUCGACGCACCUGCAAGGCUGACCAUCGUCGUUAUAUCCGCGCAAUGAUGCAGAUCAGUCGGGGCUUAGGUGAUUUUCAUUUUCUGAAAAUCGAUCUGUUCGAUGAAAAACGAGCGAAUGGUCCGUCCAGCGGAUAAUAACGUUUGAUUUAUGCUGAGAAGUACAUGUGGUUCAGAAUCUGCUGAUACUUACAUUGACCUAUAAAUGACGGAUGAGCUGUUCGAACAGCGGAGGCAUAAAAUAUUCCGAGAUAAAGAAAAACAAGAAAUGAGUGAAUCUGGUAUCCGCACGUUUAUUACGAAAGAUGAUGCCAGCCUGACUUCUGAAGUCAGUGCUUUGAAUAUAACUGCUUAUCCAAUUCCUAACUAAUACCCACUCGUCGAAAAAAUAACCAGUUCUGUAUAAUCCGCGCUUAUAAUAAUAUACCGAUAGAAUGAUAAAUGUUCACGUGUAGUGCCGUUCCCGCGUAUGUAAGACGUGGGCAUCGAAGUAGGCGCUCGCGCUCUUCGGUGCUGUUAUCGGAAGACGUUCGAGCAACGGAAUGAUCGAUGCAGCUGCGUGCGAGGCCUACCGAACGGUAACACCGCACAUUCUGCAAUUGGUGCACACGAUGGGACUCACGAGGCAAUCGUGCUUGUUAAAUAAAACGAGGACGCUGCUCGGAGAAAUGUAUUUAUUGCAUAAUCCGUCAUAUCGUACAACCGAUACGUUGUUAUACCUUCGCCGCUCGGAAGUAAUUUCGAAAAGGGAGCGAGAAGUUUGACCGCAGAUCGGGGGCUACAGCAGCUUCUGAACUUGAACGUGCAAAGAUUAAAGCGACACUGAAUCGGCGAACAUCUUUGGCACGACUCUGCGAUCGACGAGUGCACUAGGAAAAUUGUCUGGCCGAUCGCCAAUUCCAGGUGUGGCCUGGGUGCCACUGCAUUCGCAACGCCAUUACAGAAGAUCAAGUUCAAUAAACCGAAUCUCUUCGGAGCCGCGUGUCUUUCAUCUCCGCGGCGAUAUUCGCCGAUCACCUCAGUUUCGCUGUAAACAGGUAUACCGGAUUUAAUCUGAUUUCUUGUCACC